rnacentral:rRNA from 1 species
GUGGGGAAUCUUCCGCAAUGGACGAAAGUCUGACGGAGCAACGCCGCGUGAGUGAUGAAGGUCUUCGGAUUGUAAAGCUCUGUUAAUCGGGACGAAAGAGCCUAGUGUGAAUAAUGCUAGGAAGUGACGGUACCGGAAUAGAAAGCCACGGCUAACUACGUGCCAGCAGCCGCGGUAAUACGUAGGUGGCAAGCGUUGUCCGGAAUUAUUGGGCGUAAAGCGCGCGCAGGCGGAUCUGCCAGUCUGUCUUAAAAGUUCGGGGCUUAACCCCGUGAUGGGAUGGAAACUACAGAUCUAGAGUAUCGGAGAGGAAAGUGGAAUUCCUAGUGUAGCGGUGAAAUGCGUAGAUAUUAGGAAGAACACCAGUGGCGAAGGCGACUUUCUGGACGAAAACUGACGCUGAGGCGCGAAAGCCAGGGGAGCGAACGGGAUUAGAAACCCUAGUAGUCC